rnacentral:rRNA from 1 species
GAAUCCCGUCUUUGACACGGACUGCCUGUACAUUAUGGUGUGCUCUCGAAGAGUCGAGUUGUUUGGGAAUGCAGCUCAAAAUGGGUGGUAAAUGCCAUCUAAAGCUAAAUAUUGGCGAGAGACCGAUAGCGAACAAGUACCGUGAGGGAAAGAUGAAAAGAACUUUGGAAAGAGAGUUAAACAGUACGUGAAAUUGCUGAAAGGGAAACGCUUGAAGUCAGUCGCGUUGGCUAGAAAUCAACCUUGCUUUUGCUUUGUGUACUUUCUGGUUGACGGGUCAGCAUCAAUUUUGACCACUGGAUAAAGUCUUUGGGAAUGUGGCAUCUUCGGAUGUGUUAUAGCCCUUGGUCGCAUACAACGAUUGGGAUUGAGGAACUCAGCACGCCGCAAGGCCGGGUACUUGUACCACGUUCGUGCUUAGGAUGUUGGCAUAAUGGCUUUAAUCGACCCGUCUUGAAACACGGACCAAGGAGUCUAACAUGCCUGCGAGUGUUUGGGUGGAAAACCCGGACGCGUAAUGAAAGUGAAAGUUGAGAUCCCUGUCGCGGGGAGCAUCGACGCCCGGACCAGACCUUCUGUGACGGAUCCGCGGUAGAGCAUGUAUGUUGGGACCCGAAAGAUGGUGAACUAUGCCUGAAUAGGGUGAAGCCAGAGGAAACUCUGGUGGAGGCUCGUAGCGAUUCUGACGUGCAAAUCGAUCGUCAAAUUUGGGUAUAGGGGCGAAAGACUAAUCGAACCAUCUAGUAGCUGGUUCCUGCC